rnacentral:sRNA from 1 species
GUCGUGAGAUGUUGGGUUAAGUCCCGCAACGAGCGCAACCCCCGUUCCCAGUUGCCAGCGGAUUAUGCCGGGGACUCUGGGAAGACUGCCGGUGCUAAACCGGAGGAAGGUGGGGACGACGUCAAGUCAUCAUGGUCCUUACGUCUAGGGCUACACACGUGCUACAAUGGCCGGUACAGCGGGUCGCAACCUCGCAAGAGUGAGCCAAUCCCCAUAAAGCCGGCCUCAGUGCGGAUUGGAGGCUGCAACUCGCCUCCAUGAAGCUGGAAUCGCUAGUAAUCGUGGAUCAGCUACGCCACGGUGAAUACGUUCCCGGGCCUUGUACACACCGCCCGUCACGCCAUGGAAGCUGUGAGCGCCCGAAGUCCGUGUCGCAACUCGCAAGAGAGCAAGCGGCCGAAGGCGAGCGCAGUGACUGGGGCGAAGUCGUAACAAGGUAGCCGUAGGGGAACCUGCGGCUGGAUCACCUCCUUAACGGAUUCUGAGUAAGCCGACGCGCGGGCAACCGCGUGGAGGACUGCUCCCGAGAGCUUGCUCGAGGGAUCGAGUCUACUGGCCGAAAAAUUCCUGUAGUCGCUUCACCCGCACAUCACACCCCAAUUCGAUUUUUUCUCGUCCGACGCCACCGCCCGCGAGGCGGUGUUUGCGUCAGCGCUAUUUGACAACAGAAACGAAUGGUAGAUCGUGGGAUGGAAGAAUCACACGAGCAAGCAAGACGCUGAUUGUGCGCAAGCACGCAGAGUUAUUGAGUGCUCACUCGUGAACAUGAAGAACCGUAGGACCUAGGACGAACACAGCGAUCUCGGGAAUUGCGUUCGCGAGAUCGCGCGUGCUCUGCUUGGAUACAGGAUCGAGAAGGCGAGUGACGGUUGGCAGCGGGUGGCAACACGCGGUGUCAGCUCGAGCGACCCCUUUUUGUAGUCAAGCGAGCGAUAGCAUGUGGAGGAUGCCUGGGCACACAGAGGCGAUGAAGGCCGUGGUAAGCUGCGAUAAGCCAAGGGGAGCGGCACACACGCAUUGAUCCUUGGAUGG